rnacentral:rRNA from 1 species
UACAGAGGUCCCAAGCGUUGUUCGGAUUCACUGGGCGUAAAGGGUGCGUAGGCGGUCGGGUAAGUCUGAUGUGAAAUCUCACAGCUUAACUGUGAAACUGCAUUGGAUACUAUCCGGCUAGAGGAAUGGAGGGGAGACUGGAAUACUUGGUGUAGCAGUGAAAUGCGUGGAUAUCAAGUGGAACACCAGUGGCGAAGGCGAGUCUCUGGACAUUUCCUGACGCUGAGGCACGAAAGCCAGGGGAGCAAGCGGG